GAUCCUGGCUCAGGAUGAACGCUAGCUACAGGCUUAACACAUGCAAGUCGAGGGGCAGCGAGGGCGUAGCAAUACGCCUGUCGGCGACCGGCGCACUGGUGAGUAACACGUAUGCGACCUGCCCCCUACAGGGGUAUAACCCGUAGAAAUGCGGACUAAUCCCCCAUAGUCCUGAGUGCUGCAUGGCCUGCGGGGGAAAGGGUUUCCGGUAGGGGAUGGGCAUGCGGCGCAUUAGCUAGUUGGCGGGGCAACGGCCCACCAAGGCGACGAUGCGUAGGGGUUCUGAGAGGAAGGUCCCCCACACUGGUACUGAGACACGGACCAGACUCCUACGGGAGGCAGCAGUGAGGAAUAUUGGUCAAUGGGCGCAGGCCUGAACCAGCCAAGUCGCGUGAGGGAGGACGGUCCUACGGAUUGUAAACCUCUUUUGUCGGGGAGUAACGUGCGGGACGCGUCCCGUAUUGAGAGUACCCGAAGAAAAAGCAUCGACUAACUCCGUG
rnacentral:rRNA from 1 species